CACAAUGUCACGAGGAAUUUCCAAUUCUGCGAGGAAAAUGCUUAAUUCAUCAUUUUAUCUGUAAAACAGUAAGUAUACAGAAUCAUCACGCUUUGACAACAAGAACAAGAGAAAGACAUGGAGCAGUUGCAUGAUUGUCGCGUAAUCGAGAUCGUUCUAUAAAUCAGGAAUCCUCUUGAUAUGCUGAGACAAUUUCGCGAAGGAGACACAACCAGAUAAAGACAAGAGCACCAAUGCUACGGAGAUCCAUAUUUACACAUUAUGUUAAUUAUAACAAACACGCGCGUAAUUAUAUUUACUUAACGAGGUCCAGUGACAGCUCGUUUUACACUAAACGCUUUCUGCCUUUCACAUUCCGUCCGCCGUGUAUACAGGAUGCUACAAGCUAUUGUAUUGUGAGCCUUUAGAAAAUA